GUUAGGACAGCGGAGUGACGACGCGAUACGACCGUCUUGAAACNCGGACCAAGGAGUCUAGCACGGGUGCGAGUCGGAGGGUGCAAGNCCGUGGGCGAAGUGAAAGCGAGUUUAAAAACGAGCAGUUUGGGGCGGCAUAAGAUCGUUGAUCUUAAGACCGACCCAGAGCAGUUGCGCUGGGACCCGAAAGAUGGUGAACUAUGCCGGAGUAGGGCAAAGNCAGAGGAAACUCUGGUGGAGGCUCGUAGCGGUGCUGACGUGCAAAUCGCUCGUCGAACUUGGGUAUAGGGGCGAAAGACUAAUCGAACCAUCUAGUAGCUGGUUCCCUCCGAAGUUUCUCUCAGGAUAGCGGGCCGACAAGUUGUUUUGUGCGGUAAAGCGAAUGAUUAGCGCAAUCGGGGGCGUUUAGCCUUUGGGCGAUUCUCAAACUUUCAAUGCGCAAGGGUGCCGCUGCUUAAUUGAGCGGUACCGGUAAAAACGUCGGCCCUGUGGGCCACUUUUGGUAAGCAGAACUGGCGAUACGGGAUGAACCGUAAGCAAGGUUAAGGCGCCAAACUGCCCGCUUAUAGACCCCACAAAAGGUGUUGAUUCAUCGAGACAGCAGGACGGUGGCCAUGGAAGUCGGAAUCCGCCAAGGAGUGUGUAACAACUCACCUGCCGAAUGAAUUAGCCCUGAAAAUGGAUGGCGCUGAAGCGGGCGGCCGACACCUUGCCGUCUGAACAAGAAUUUCAGAUGAGUAGGAGGACGUGGUGA
rnacentral:rRNA from 1 species